GAACGCUAGCGACAGGCUUAACACAUGCAAGUCGAGGGGUAACAGGGUGUAGCAAUACACCGCUGACGACCGGCGCACGGGUGAGUAACGCGUAUGCAACCUGCCUUUGACAGAGGGAUAGCCCAUGGAAACGUGGAUUAAUACCUCAUAGUCUCUUUUUUCUUCCUGGGAAAUAGAGUAAAACGUCAGUGGUCAAAGAUGGGCAUGCGUCCUAUUAGGCAGUUGGCGGGGUAACGGCCCACCAAACCGAUGAUAGGUAGGGGUUCUGAGAGGAAGGUCCCCCACACUGGUACUGAGACACGGACCAGACUCCUACGGGAGGCAGCAGUGAGGAAUAUUGGUCAAUGGUCGAGAGACUGAACCAGCCAAGUCGCGUGAGGGAAGACUGCCCUAUGGGUUGUAAACCUCUUUUCUACUGGGAGAAUAAGCCUUAUGUAUAAGGUGAUGACAGUACAGUAGGAAUAAGCAUCGGCUAACUCCGUGCCAGCAGCCGCGGUAAUACGGAGGAUGCGAGCGUUAUCCGGAUUUAUUGGGUUUAAAGGGUGCGUAGGCGGCUUUAUAAGUUAGUGGUAAAAUUUCGGAGCUUCACUCCGGUCCGCCAUUAAAACUGUAGAGCUAGAGAAUGGACGAGGUAGGCGGAAUAAGUUAAGUAGCGGUGAAAUGCAUAGAUAUAACUUAGAACUCCGAUAGCGAAGGCAGCUUACCAGACCAUAACUGACGCUGAUGCACGAGAGCGUGGGUAGCGAACAGGAUUAGAUACCCUGGUAGUCCACGCCGUAAACGAUGCUCACCGGCCCUUAGCGAUAAGACAGUUAGGGGUUAAUUGAAAGAAUUAAGUGAGCCACCUGGGGAGUACGUCGGCAACGAUGAAACUCAAAGGAAUUGACGGGGGCCCGCACAAGCGGAGGAACAUGUGGUUUAAUUCGAUGAUACGCGAGGAACCUUACCUGGGUUUAAAUGUAUAUUGCAUAAUCUGGAAACAGUUUUUCUCUUCGGAGCUAUAUACAAGGUGCUGCAUGGUUGUCGUCAGCUCGUGCCGUGAGGUGUCGGGUUAAGUCCCAUAACGAGCGCAACCCUUACCGUUAGUUGCUAGCAUGUAAUGAUGAGCACUCUAGCGGGACUGCCACCGUAAGGUGAGAGGAAGGGGGGGGAUGACGUCAAAUCAGCACGGCCCUUACAUCCAGGGCGACACACGUGUUACAAUGGCCAUAACAGCGGGUAGCUACCGGGUGACCGGAUGCAAAUCUCGAAAAUUGGUCUAAGUUCGGAUUGGAGUCUGCAACCCGACUCCAUGAAGUUGGAUUCGCUAGUAAUCGCGCAUCAGCCAUGGCGCGGUGAAUACGUUCCCGGGCCUUGUACACACCGCCCGUCAAGCCAUGGAAGCUGGGAGUACCUGAAGUCCGUAACCGCGAGGAUCGGCCUAGGGUAAUACCGGUAACUGGG
rnacentral:rRNA from 1 species